rnacentral:rRNA from 1 species
UACGUAGGGUGCAAACGUUGCUCGGAAUGACUGGGCGUAAAGGGUGUGUAGGCGGUUAGUUAAGUCUGAUGUGAAAUCCCCGGGCUCAACCUGGGAACUGCGUUGGAAACUGGCCAACUAGAGUACGUAAGAGGGGGGUGGAAUUCCACGUGUAGCAGUGAAAUGCGUAGAGAUGUGGAGGAACACCGAUGGCGAAGGCAACCCCCUGGGACGAUACUGACGCUGAGGCACGAAAGCGUGGGGAGCAAACAGG